UACGUAGGGGGCGAGCGUUGUCCGGAUUUAUUGGGCGUAAAGAGCUCGUAGGCGGUUUGGCAAGUCGGGUGUGAAAACUCCGGGCUCAACUCGGAGACGCCACUCGAUACUGCCAUGACUUGAGUCCGGUAGGGGAGUGCGGAAUUCCUGGUGUAGCGGUGAAAUGCGUAGAUACCAGGAGGAACACCGGUGGCGAAGGCGGCUUCCUGGACGGAUUAUUGACGCUGAGGCACGAAAGCGUGGGGAGCAAACGGG
rnacentral:rRNA from 1 species